GAGGUUGCUUCAGUGAACAUUCAACGCUGUCGGUGAGUUUGGAAUUAAAAUCAAAACCAUCGACCGUUGAUUGUACCCUAUGGCUAACCAUCAUC
rnacentral:miRNA from 1 species